GAGUUUGAUCGUGGCUCAGGACGAACGCUGGCGGCGCGCCUAACACAUGCAAGUCGAACGGAAUAUUUUUCUACUUCAAGUUUUUUGCUUGUUUGAGGAAAGCGCCAAUCAGUGCGCAGCACUGAUUUAGGCCUUUUAGUAAACCAACACAUGCAGAAAAAGAACGAGCGGAAGAUUUGAAGUAGAAAAAUAUUUAGUGGCGAACGGGUGAGUAACGCGUGAGGAACCUGCCUCAAAGAGGGGGACAACAGUUGGAAACGACUGCUAAUACCGCAUAAGCCCACGGUCCCGCAUGGGACAGAGGGAAAAGGAGCAAUCCGCUUUGAGAUGGCCUCGCGUCCGAUUAGCUAGUUGGUGAGGUAACGGCCCACCAAGGCGACGAUCGGUAGCCGGACUGAGAGGUUGAACGGCCACAUUGGGACUGAGACACGGCCCAGACUCCUACGGGAGGCAGCAGUGGGGAAUAUUGCACAAGUGGGGGAAACCCUGAUGCAGCGACGCCGCGUGGAGGAAGAGGU
rnacentral:rRNA from 1 species